rnacentral:lncRNA from 1 species
UUCCUCUUCGCCGCCUCGCGCCACUGAAGCAGCAGCAGCUGCCUCCGUCCGUCGAUGGCAGUAUAGCAGUAUUGUUUUCACUAGCGAUUUGUUGGUUGUUCGUGUCCUUUUCCCCCAGAUCUGCCUGCUACCGUCUAUUACUCGACUCGAUGAUGAUUGAUUAUCUCUCUCCCUCUAGUAGUAGAGAUUGUACCCGUUUGCCUGUACAUACUUCUCGCCAGUGCUAUUUAUCCACCGGUUCGAUCUGCUGAUAAGUAUGAUAGCUCCAUUUAUUCAGUCGUUGUUCGUGAAUUUUGAUGCUCGUGAGUCAGCGUGAUGGAUCUGUUUCUCUUUCUCGUUUCUCCAUUAUCUGGUGGCAGAAUUGCUUUAUGCAGCCAGCUUCAUAUGCAGAUAUGCUUGUUACUGAUCCUUCACGCUAUCAAUCACAGCAGGGAACACUCUUCGAAUGAAUAUCACGAACUUUGGAGAAUUUUUUUUUUGAGUAAAAACAGCCGCAGCGACUGCUGCACUACACGUGAGUGGUGGACUCGGAGUCAGAGACUCAGAGGUGGUGCUGGUCGUUUGGCCUGCCUCCCGUGAAUUGAUAGGUCAUUUUCUUGGUGCGAUGCUUGGUAAAAACUGCCUGUUUCUCUUAAACAAGUGGCAUGUUAUUACCAAGCUUUCCAUCAGCAGUCAGCACAAGGAAACAAAUAACAUCUUAGCGAUCUACAGUAGUAUUUGAUAGACUGUCCACAGACCUACAGAUGUAAAUCAGUUUCCUUUUUUUCACGACCAUAGGGGUAGUUGUUACUAGAAUUUGCCAUCUGGCCUAUGUUGUACUCCCUCCGUUCCUAAAUAUAAUUCUUUUUAGAGACUACAAAAUGGGCCCGUGCGUUGUCACAGAAGAAAAAAAAACAUAAUCUUCAAUGAUGGUGACCACAUUAUGUUCACAUAUCAUCGCUUAAUUUAGA